rnacentral:lncRNA from 1 species
AGUACGCGGGAUCUAUUCCAGGUGGCCACAGCCAUAGAUUCCCACAGUGGGGGAAAAGCAACCAUGUGAACAAGAUUUCAGAUGAAAGAGAAACCACAAAUGAUCAGUUCUGGGGCUGAUUGCAAAAAUUAGAGGCUGCCUUUCUUGGCUGUUUGAGAAAUCCUCUAAGUCACUGGGUGCCCUUUCUAGUAGAAAGACCCACGUUCUGGCUGGGCGCGGUGGCUCAUGCCUGUAAUCCCAGCACUUUGGGAGGCUGAGGAGGACGGAUCACUUGAACCCAGGAGUUCGAGAACAGCCUGGCCAACAUGGCAAGACCCCGUCUCUGCAAAAAAAUACAAAAAUUAGCUGGGCAUGGUGUUGCGCACCUGUAGUCCCAGCUACUCAGGAGGCUGAGGUGGGAGGAUCACCUGAGUCAGGGCAGGUCAAGGCUGCAGUGAGCCCUGAUGGUCACUGCACUCCAGCCUGGGUGACAAAAUGAGACCCUGUCUCCAAAAAAAAAAAAACCGAACAAAACCUCCAUUCUUACAAGACCCUCAAGGCAGCAAGGACGGGUUAUUCCCUAAGCUGGAAAGGUGACCAGGGAGGCCUGCAGUGGCGACUCGGGAGGAGAGUGACCUCAUCAAACAGCAACCUCAUUGGCCCCGGGCUCCAGCAGAGAAUCAGCUGGAGGCUGCACCCCCGCAAGUCCAUGAGCAACCACCAGAAGCCAUGAAUUCAGCUCCCUUUGUGGAGUCUACAAAAGAAUCUUUGUGCCCUGAAGUUGGUCAUAAAUACUUAACUUACCAGGCCGGGCACAGUGGCUCAUGCCUGUAAUCCCAGCACUUCGGGAGGCUGAGGCGCACGGAUCACUUGAGGCCAGGAGUUCGAGACCAGUCUGGCCAACAUGGUGAAACCCUGUCUCUACUAAAAAUAUGAAAAUUACCCGGGUGUGGUGGUAUAUGCCUGUAAUCCCAGCUGCUAGGGAGGCUGAGGCACGAGAAUUGAUUGAACCCAGGAGGCAGAGGUUGCAGUGAGCUGAGAUCGCACCACGGCACUCCAGCCUGGGUGACAGAGUGAGACUCUGUCUAAAUAAAUAAAAAUUAAAAAAAAAAUAACUCAUCAGGAAAACCCCUACAGGGGAAGGGGCUCUAACCCCUGGAAGAUCCAUAGUUUGGCCUCAGAUGCGGGAGUGUGGUGAACUCCCAAGAAGUGUAGAAAAUGGCAUGUGUGUUUUUCUGGGAAGAGGCUCUAUGACUUUAAACAGAUUCUGAAGGGGCUUUGUGACUUCCUCAAAACACCUGGGACCCCAGUGAUCUGUGUACCUGCAAUCACUCUUUCCUUUUCAGAAAACCUACUUUUUCCCCCUCAAUUCCUUCUCUAAGGAUGUUGCAGAAAACUAUUUAGGAGGCCUGACAGGGAAAAUCUCACAAGCAAAACUUGUCCUGCAACCUUACUUUUAUUGUUUAAAAAAUUCUGUGUAAAAAUAAAUACUUUUCAACUCAAGUUAACUGGAGCAAAUAGAUCCAAUUAAAAAAAUAACAUAAACACAAACAGGGUUUUCUACUUGCCCUGUUUCUGAAGUCAUGACGUGAAAGAAAGGCAAACCCACCCAGGUGAGCCACAGAUCGCAGAAAACACGAGCUGUCCAAGGAAGACCGCCCUCCUCUCUGAAGCAGUGCUCAUCUUUUCAAUAAGAAAACACCAGGCAUCAUAUAUUUAAAUUUUAGAAUAUUUUAAUGUCCAUUUCUUCAGUGAAUGCAUUUUGAAAUUAUUAGAAUUAACAAUUUAAAAAGAGCAGAUAAAAGGAUAUAUGGAAAAUGCAA